CGACGGGUAGCCGGCCUGAGAGGGCGACCGGCCACACUGGGACUGAGACACGGCCCAGACUCCUACGGGAGGCAGCAGUGGGGAAUAUUGCGCAAUGGGCGAAAGCCUGAUGCAGCGACGCCGCGUGAGGGAUGACGGCCUUCGGGUUGUAAACCUCUUUCAGCUCCGAAGAAGCGAAAGUGACGGUAGGAGCAGAAGAAGCACCGGCUAACUACGUGCCAGCAGCCGCGGUAAUACGUAGGGUGCAAGCGUUGUCCGGAAUUAUUGGGCGUAAAGAGCUCGUAGGUGGUUCGUCGCGUCUGCUGUGAAAGUCCGAGGCUUAACCUCGGAUCUGCAGUGGGUACGGGCGGACUAGAGUGCGGUAGAGGAGAUCGGAAUUCCUGGUGUAGCGGUGGAAUGCGCAGAUAUCAGGAGGAACACCGGUGGCGAAGGCGGAUCUCUGGGCCGUAACUGACGCUGAGGAGCGAAAGCAUGGGGAGCGAACAGGCUUAGAUACCCUGGUAGUCCAUGCCGUAAACGUUGGGCGCUAGGUGUGGGGUCCCAUCCACGGAUUCCGUGCCGCAGCUAACGCAUUAAGCGCCCCGCCUGGGGAGUACGGCCGCAAGGCUAAAACUCAAAGGAAUUGACGGGGGCCCGCACAAGCGGCGGAGCAUGCGGAUUAAUUCGAUGCAACGCGAAGAACCUUACCAAGGCUUGACAUACGCCGGAAACACUCAGAGAUGGGUGCCCCGCAAGGUCGGUGUACAGGUGGUGCAUGGUUGUCGUCAGCUCGUGUCGUGAGAUGUUGGGUUAAGUCCCGCAACGAGCGCAACCCUCGUUCUAUGUUGCCAGCGGGUCAUGCCGGGGACUCAUAGGAGACUGCCGGGGUCAACUCGGAGGAAGGUGGGGAUGACGUCAAAUCAUCAUGCCCCUUAUGUCUUGGGCUUCACGCAUGCUACAAUGGCCGGUACAAAGGGCUGCGAAACCGUAAGGUGGAGCGAAUCCCAAAAAGCCGGUCUCAGUUCGGAUUGGGGUCUGCAACUCGACCCCAUGAAGUCGGAGUCGCUAG
rnacentral:rRNA from 1 species